GUCGCAAGACCAAAGAGGGGGACCUUCGGGCCUCUUGCCAUCGGAUGUGCCCAGAUGGGAUUAGCUUGUUGGUGGGGUAACGGCUCACCAAGGCGACGAUCCCUAGCUGGUCUGAGAGGAUGACCAGCCACACUGGAACUGAGACACGGUCCAGACUCCUACGGGAGGCAGCAGUGGGGAAUAUUGCACAAUGGGCGCAAGCCUGAUGCAGCCAUGC
rnacentral:rRNA from 2 species